rnacentral:rRNA from 1 species
UGGUGGAGUGAUCUGUCUGGUCAAUUCCGUUAACGAACGAGACCUCUUCUUACUAAAUAGUUUUGAUUAAGCAUUGCUUAGUGUAAAACUUCUUAGAAGGACCUUUGGCGAUUAGCCAAAGGAAGUUGGAGGCAAUAACA